AUCAACAUCUACCACAUUUGGAAAGUUUAAAAGCUAUUUCUUUGUUCACUUUGUAUGUAAUAUGUGUAUCUGCAUCUACAUCUGCUUUGGUUGUUCCUGCAGCACAAUCUUCUCCAGGUUAAUGUAUAAAUUGAAAUAUUUUUUUAUGAUUGUUCUUCG